CCGAGCUCCGCGACGUGAGCCACCUGGCCGCGCUCAGCCUGCUCCGGCAGCUCGCCGACCUCUGCGGCCACUCGUUGGCUCUGCUCGAGGACCUCGAGGGGCACCUGCUGGCCCUGGGGCGCCGUACCGACAGCCUGUUCCGCCGCACCGUGCACCUCCGCCGCCGCCUUCCCUGCCGCCUGCUCGGCCCGGAGGACGACGAGGAAGAGCUAGGUGCCUCCCAUUGGUCAAACCUAACCCGAAGCCAGAGGGCGAGGGAACCUGUCGAUGCAGUCUAUACAGGUCUGCUCCCCAGAGGUAACAACCACUGUUAUCAGCAAAGAGCGCUCUCUUCCUAAUCUCUUUCUAUGUAUACAUAGUUUGGUUGUAUGUGG